rnacentral:rRNA from 1 species
GAUGAACGCUGGCGGCGUGCCUAAUACAUGCAAGUCGAGCGAAUGGAUUAAGAGCUUGCUCUUAUGAAGUUAGCGGCGGACGGGUGAGUAACACGUGGGUAACCUGCCCAUAAGACUGGGAUAACUCCGGGAAACCGGGGCUAAUACCGGAUAAUAUUUUGAACUGCAUGGUUCAAAAUUGAAAGGCGGCUUCGGCUGUCACUUAUGGAUGGACCCGCGUCGCAUUAGCUAGUUGGUGAGGUAACGGCUCUCCAAGGCAACGAUGCGUAGCCGCCCUGAGAGGGUGAGCGGCCACCCUGGGACUGAGACACGGCCCAGACUCCUACGGGAGGCAGCAGUAGGGAAUCUUCCGCAAUGGACGAAAGUCUGACGGAGCAACGCCGCGUGAGUGACGAAGGCUUUCGGGUCGUAAAACUCUGUUGUUAGGGAAGAACAAGUGCUAGUUGAAUAAGCUGGCACCUUGACGGUACCUAACCAGAAAGCCACGGCUAACUACGUGCCAGCCGCCGCCGUAA